rnacentral:lncRNA from 1 species
UUUCAACCCUGUACAGCAAUCUUUAAUACACGCUAAAGUCUGGAGGACAGAUACUUCCUUUUCCAGAUAAACUUACAGAUCCAGAUGAAGGUACCCCAAGCAGCUUGAGAUGUGAUGAUGGAGACCAGUUUGAGAAGACCCAUCAUCUCUGAUUUCCCUCUGAUUAUGAAGUAAUACAACAAAGCUACAGAUCUCACUCUGUCACUCAGGCUGGAAUGC